rnacentral:rRNA from 1 species
CGCGUAGGCGGUUUUGCAAGCCAGAGGUGAAAUGCCCGAGCUCAACUCAGGAAUGGCCUUUGGGACUGCGAGGCUUUGAGGACUGGAGAGGUGAGUGGAAUUCCCAGUGUAGAGGUGAAAUUCGUAGAUAUUGGGAAGAACACCGGUGGCGAAGGCGGCUCACUGGCCAGUUUCUGACGCUGUAGCGCGAAAGCGUGGGAUCAAACA